UACGGGGGGGGGCAAGCGUUGUUCGGAAUUACUGGGCGUAAAGGGCUCGUAGGUGGCCAACUAAGUCAGACGUGAAAUCCCUCGGCUUAACCGGGGAACUGCGUCUGAUACUGGAUGGCUUGAGUUCGGGGAGAGGGAUGCGGAAUUCCAGGUGAGCGGUGAAAUGCGUGAGAUAUCUGGAGGAACACCGGUGGCGAAGGCGGCAUCCUGGACCGACACUGACACUGGAGGAGCGAAAGCCAGGGGAGCAAACGGG
rnacentral:rRNA from 1 species